GACGAACGCUGGCGGCGUGCUUAACACAUGCAAGUCGAACGGUGAAGCCCUUCGGGGUGGAUCAGUGGCGAACGGGUGAGUCACACGUGAGCAACCUGCCCCUGGCUCUGGGACAACCACUGGAAACGGUGGCUAAUACCGGAUACGACCCGCCUCGGCCUUGCGUGUGGGUGGAAAGUUUUUCGGCUGGGGAUGGGCUCGCGGCCUAUCAGCUUGUUGGUGAGGUGAAGGCUCACCAAGGCUACGACGGGUAGCCGGCCUGAGAGGGCGACCGGCCACACUGGGACUGAGACACGGCCCAGACUCCUACGGGAGGCAGCAGUGGGGAAUAUUGCACAAUGGGCGAAAGCCUGAUGCAGCGACGCCGCGUGAGGGAUGACGGCCUUCGGGUUGUAAACCUCUUUCAGCGCCGAAGAAGCGAAAGUGACGGUAGGAGCAGAAGAAGCACCGGCUAACUACGUG
rnacentral:rRNA from 1 species